CCUACAGGAGGCAGCAGUGGGGAAUAUUGGACAAUGGGGGCAACCCUGAUCCAGCCAUGCCGCGUGUGUGAAGAAGGCCCUCGGGUUGUAAAGCACUUUCAGUGAGGAAGAACGCCUGGUGGUUAAUACCCAUCAGGAAAGACAUCACUCACAGAAGAAGCACCGGCUAACUCCGUGCCAGCAGCCGCGGUAAUACGGAGGGUGCGAGCGUUAAUCGGAAUUACUGGGCGUAAAGCGCGCGUAGGUGGCUUGAUAAGCCGGUUGUGAAAGCCCCGGGCUCAACCUGGGAACGGCAUCCGGAACUGUUAAGCUAGAGUGCAGGAGAGGAAGGUAGAAUUCCCGGUGUAGCGGUGAAAUGCGUAGAGAUCGGGAAGAAUACCAGUGGCGAAGGCGGCCUUCUGGACUGACACUGACACUGAGGUGCGAAAGCGUGGGUAGCAAACAGGAUUAGAUACCCUGGUAGUC
rnacentral:rRNA from 1 species